rnacentral:misc_RNA from 1 species
GGUGGCUCUUGUGAGUUUCUGAGUUGUGACAAUUACUAGAAACGAUUUAUGAUCAUCUCUUCCAUAGUCUAACUACAGUAAUCUCAGCGACUUUGGAGGGGCUGAGAAUUAUCUAAUACAGAGGAAGUUAUGCUGAGGAAUAGAUCUAGAGCAGUAACCAGCAAGCAAGCUUUAAUGACUGAUCACAGUUCUCAAUCUCCUCCAAUCCAGAACCACACAAAACCAAC